AAAGAAUGAAAAGUUCUGAAAUAGAGUUGGAGGGGUUUAGGGCCCUGCCUGUCCGGUGUGCUGGAGAUGGGAGAGUCAUGGCCUCCUGUGGUGGAUUAACUAAUGGUCAACUUGUAACGCUCAGCUGAACUGAAUCAGCGUGGUGUAGGUGUGGAGGAUCCACCUAAAGAUUGUUACCAAUAGCCAUAAAAAGAGAACUGGAGGGGAAGAUCUUGGCCUGUGGAGAAGCUUGCUGCAGAUGGUUUUCCUGAUGCAAACUAGGCUGUUCUCGUUGGAAGAGGAGCUCAGGGCCUUGCUGUCACUGGGAAUGGCUGCUGUUUUCAUCAGGGGAGCUCUGAUCUUCACCAUGAGCAUCACUUCUUGGCUCCAAUGUGGAUCCCUCAGCGUGGUGGCACAAACCCUUCAUCUCACCAGCGUGUCUAAGGAUAUCAGCCCACCUGGGGGUGCCAUUGCUGCUGCCUAAAAGCCCCACAGUUCCCCUGGAGGUCUGAGGUCUGCCCUGACUCUGGAAGGCCCAACAUCUUCCUGCCUGCUUUCCAGGAAGGGGUGCACUCUGAAACAGGAGGAGAGGGGCAUGAGGGAGCCUGACAGGAAGUGAGGAUUCGAGACUUCAAAUACAAACAUUAUGAAAAACAAGCAACAUCUGCAAACAACACUCUCGCGCAGGCACUUCCUGGACAGUGGGAUGUAACCAAGCAAGCUCUGUGCAGUGGGAAAUUGGAGAAGUCCAACUUUCAGCAGCCUUCAUAUUUGGGUAAUCCUGUCUAAUGAUUUCAGGGUUGAAUCAUGGGAAACUCCAUUGGCUUCUUUAUAUAUAUGGACCAGAUCGCUGAGUGACCUGCUUUGGGGAGAGGGGGAAUAAAAAGAGGAAAAAAAAUACCCUGUAUGUAAACAAACAAUUUAUUGCUGCCUUCACAAAAUGUAAACAAAACCCAUGCACCUUGCCCCCGGGAUUGGCCUGGCAAUAUCUAGUUCGACAGAACUCGGCUAGGUGCCUUCUCUGCUUGUCUCCUCCACAUCCUGGAAAUUCUAGAGGGACAAAUCAUGCCUGAGUUGCUGCUAUCUAUGCCUUGUGGAAUCUUAAAUAGAAUGAAACAGGGCCCAGACAAUCAAUAUUACUGACAAAUUAAUCUCUGUGAAUAAACUGCUGUUCGCUUCCUGGGUGUCCCUGUCCCUAGAAUAAUUUUGUAUGUGGAGUUGAGGGCUUUUUACCACUUUGUUGGUAUUUUCUGUGAUCAUCUACCUGUGGGUGGCACCCGAUUGCCUGUAGGGACUCAGUUUUGGAAAAUCAAAUGAUACAGUGUCCCAGGCCUCGCCCUGUUAAUUUCCUCCCUGCUAGGGCUUCAUCUGAGUGCUAGAAUAAGCACACGCUUUAUACCGAGAAGAUGCCCUUCCCCAUCUUGCGGGAGGGAGAAGGCAAGAGUGGAGCAGGUGGCGGUUGUCUCCAUUUCUGCCCAAACUCAGUUUACCAGAAAUAGUUUGGAAGCCAGGAUAAUCAAGUGUUAAUUAAGGUUUCAAAAAUCUCAUUUAUCUUUUCUUAAGGAAUAGGAAGGGCACACAAUACGUCUACAACUUUCUCUAGAUUCUUAAAUUUGCACAGAAGGGGGCUCAGAAAGGAGGCUCCUCUCCAAACCUAAAAUCUACCCAGUCUGCAUCGAUGUUAAAUAUUGGACUGCUUUGGUACCAGUUGGUAAAGAACCCCCACCCCACCACCAAGCCUUCUGCUGCCCACUGCCCCAGCCCUUUCCCAAUACUUCCUCCCCAUCGUUUGACUCAGCACCUAAAGGGUUAACAUGUGAUGCAACCCAGGGGCCUCCCUGACACCUGCUUGGGAUUGAGGUUCUGUUCCACUGUCCUGGGAUCUGUGACACUCAGAAACCUCUGAGCAAACAGGCAAGACUCUUCCUCAAGUCCCAAACAGUAAACACCAGCAAGAAUCAACGGUCACCAGGGUAUAAUUGUCAUUAGUAUGUAAAUUUUAAAAGCUCAGUCAAAAAUAUCAAUACCUCCCACUUAAUUUAUUACUAUAUAAAGAUGAAUGGUAGUGAAGCAUUGCAUUGAUUUUUCAGAGCCCUUUAAAGAAUGGUGAGGAAGAAAAUAGUCAAAGACAACACAAAAUGCUGCGUCUCAAAAUUAAUCACUGUACUGUUUUUAAACACACACACACUUACAAAAGCACUGUACAGCAGCCCAUACGGUUCAAUCUUAUUUGAUUGCCUUUUCUGAAAAUGAAGAAAUGGAAGAGGCCAUUUAUGUAAAGAGCCCUCUUAGAAUGGAUUAGAUGUAAAGAUGGGUUAGCAUUUUUACUGUAUCGACAGCAAACCAUUAGGCAGCCACACUCCAGCCCAGCCACUGAGAGGAAAUCGAAGAGCGUAGUUCCCCAGCAGGCCUGGACAGGACAACUUAUCAGUCCCUGGUCCUUGGGCAACCUGGCUGUCACUGAUGAGCAAACUCCAGGCCCGGCUCCUCUUUCUAUUUGGUGUAAUGACAUCAUGCCAUCACCCACGUAUUUGCUAAAAAUGUUAGUAGGAAUAGUCAUGACCACUAAACAAAUAAGUAAAUUUAUCAUCAGAUUUAAACCUGUUCUGGAAAGCCUGUAACGUGGGAAUUGUGUUUGUGUUUAAAGUGAUAUGGAAAUCAGUGCCUAAUCAUCCCUCCAUUAAAGGAUGGGUCACUUCCUUCCACUUGACAUUUUAAGAUUUUUGCAUUUAUAGAGAGGGAGAAGGGGACUUGGAGAGAAAAGAUUGCAAGGGAGCAAAGCAGAAAAGAAAACAAUAAAGUCGCAGAGAUGUAUUCAUUUUGCUAGUCUAUACUAUCACGCCACUUGUUUGGUUUGCUUCCUGUCAUUUUGCAAGCACCUGGGCCCUGUAUCUUUUGAACAGUCUCCUGGUUAAAGCAGAUAAACCUUGAGGUAGCCCAGAGAGAGGCUACCUCUGUCACCAUCUCCUGAAGAGCUACGAUUUCCAAAAGAAUAGGAAUGCUUACGUUUUAUAAUAUUAGAAUAAGGAUAUAAUUUGUCUCCUAUUUCCAGAAUUCCAGAGGUUUACGUCCUGCCCUCCACAACAAACCCUGAGGAGGAUGGAUAAUUGUUCUGGGCUUUAUUAUGGCAUCUAGGGAAGCUUAUUUUUUAAUAGAGAUGUUCCACCAAGAAUCAGGCUAUAUACAAUGAGCAGUACUGCACAUUCACUGGACUAGACAUAAGCAGCCUGGAGAGGAGCAUUUUUGUCAAAGGAACCUCAGUCUCCAAUAAGGGCUGUUGAUCAGGGACCCUUCAAUCAGACUGAUAAUUCUAAUUUAUCAGAAUGCUUCUACUGUAUGGAGCAGCAGCUUCGUGCUCCUCCUGGCUUUUCUUAUGAAGUGGAGCAGCAGUUCAAAAACCAACAUCAAGUUCCUAGAUGUCUUCCUGCUAUAAUUGGAUUUAAUUCAUUAUCUUUCAUUUCAAUAAAAUCACAGGAAAACACAGGGAUGUAAAUGUGUAGGCUAAUUGCUUAUGGAAAUUCAGGUGCCACACUUGGUAUAAACUUACCCCUUGCAAAAGCAAGACACAGUUGUGUCAUUAUCAUAGAAUUUUACAACAAUAUGUAAUUAUGGAGAGAAGCAGGUGUAAUUAUCAAGUCUUUCCACAAAGCAGGUAGCAUUCUUGGUUAAAUAUUUACAGCUACACCAACAGCUGGCAAUAAUGAGAGUUUUCUCAGCCGCCCAUUACAGAACACCCAACAAAUAUUAUGAAAAAUGGUCAUUAUGAACCCGGGAAGCGUUGCUUUGCCUUCUUGCCGGCAAGGGAUGCUUCUGUGGAGCUUGCAAGACGGGAAUUCAGGCUGAAUCAGCAGCGCAGUUUCAAUGGUGCUGAAAACAAGAAACGAAGAUCUCCUUUUCCCUUGCUGCUGUAGAGAGGAGCAAUUAAAGCUGCAUAUUUAGAGAUGACAUCAGCCAGGAGUCCUGCACAGAGAGAAAAAUCCAUUGCAUUUUCCCCCCUUCUUUCUUUUUCUCGUUCCUUUUUCUGUCCAAAGGAAACCCACGGCAAACUGCAAAGAUGCCGAAAGCUGCAGGCAAAGGAAGCAAACUCCAAACUGCCCACCAAGGGUCAGCCAGACCUGCAGCUGUUGCACAAAAUAAAAUCAACGCAGCCCACCCUGGGCAAACACCCUGUGUGGCUCUUUUAUUACCAAGUGAUAUGAACUUUGACCCAACCUGAACAAAAUUUAAUAUUUUCUCCCAAAUAUUUAAAAAAUUCAUUCUGGGGCUCUCAAGGAGUCAGAGAGUCUGCGAGCCGUAAUUUGACAUCUGAAUUAUUCUGAGGCUAAUACGGAAAGCUAUUCAGAAGCUUAUUUGGAGAUGUGUCAAUCAAGAUAUCACUUGUGCAGGGAAGAUGGACUCGGGCUUAGGAGUGCAGAUAGCUUUCAGGGAACCUCAAAAUAAAAGGCAGCAACCUCUGAUGAAUACGUUACGUCUUCAUUCUCGACAAUGACAUUUUUCUUUUCUUGCUACAGCAUACAGACCUAAGAGAGCUGUGUCCCAGGCAUGUGCCUUUUUCCACACCUGUAAAAACACUUUAACAUUUAUUAAAAAUGAUAACCAUAAACAACAAACAUGGUGUCAAAACUCGCCUCUGUUAAUUUCAACGGACUGAUUAAGAUUUUAAGCAACGCUUCUAAAUUAGACUGUCAGGCUGCCAUCCUCCAGGCAGGGUUGGGGUUCUGAUCCAGGGCAGGCUUGUUUGAGCAAGUAGGCUUUCUGGGUUGAUUGUGAACCAGGCUGGCGAUACUCAACGUUCUUUCAUUCAUUUCCGAUGAGUUGGGGGUGAUUCAAUUAGCCCUGAUUGUCGGAGAGAUGUGGCCCGAAAUAAACCGUCUGGGCUCUGAGCGCCUCCUCGCGAGGUAUUUCCCAGCUGACAAGUAACAAUGUUAAUUACCUAUUGUUAUGAUCUGAAGAGAC
ensembl:lncRNA